CGAAGGCCUUAGGGUUGUAAAGCACUUUCGUUGGUGAGGAAACGGUGGCAAUUAAUACUUGCUGCAAUUGAUGUUAACCCAAAUAAGAUAGCACCGCGUCUAACUCCGUGCCAGCAGCCGUCGUGUAAUACUGUGAGGGUGCAAGCGUUAAUCGGAAUUACUGGGCGUAAAGCGCGCGUAGGCGGAUUGUUAAGUCAGAUGUGUAAGCCCUGGGCUCAACCUAKGAACUGCAUUUGAAACUGGCAAUCUUGAGUAUGGAANAGGUAAGCGGAAUUUCCUGUGUAGCAGUGAAAUGCGUAAAGAUUGNUAGGAAUAUCGAUGGUGAAGGUAACUUACUGGGCCAAUACUGACGCUGAGGUGCGAAUGCGCGGGUAGUGAACGGGAUUACAUACCCCGGNUAGUCCACGCCGUAGACUCAUGUCNACUAGGUGUCGGGUCCUUGAGAUUCGGUGCCGCAGCUAACGCAUUACGUUGACCGCCUGGGGAGUACGCUCGCAAAUGUAACACUCA
rnacentral:rRNA from 1 species